CUGUUCUUAGUUUAUUGUAAUAAUAGCUUGUCGUGCUAUAGGAGGGUGGCUAGACACUCAGAGCGGG
rnacentral:tRNA from 1 species